rnacentral:rRNA from 1 species
UACGGAAGGCAGCAGGGGGGGAAUAUUGCACAAUGGGCGCAAGCCUGAUGCAGCCAUGCCGCGUGUAUGAAAAAGGCCUUCGGGUUGUAAAGUACUUUCAGUCGUGAGGAAGGUGUUAAGGUUAAUAACCUUAGCAAUUGACGUUAGCGACAGAAGAAGCACCGGCUAACUCCGUGCCAGCAGCCGCGGUAAUACGGAGGGUGCGAGCGUUAAUCGGAAUUACUGGGCGUAAAGGGCACGCAGGCGGUUAAUUAAGUUGGAUGUGAAAUCCCCGGGCUUAACCUGGGAACGGCAUUCAAGACUGGUUAGCUAGAGUCUUGUAGAGGGGGGUAGAAUUCCAUGUGUAGCGGUGAAAUGCGUAGAGAUGUGGAGGAAUACCGGUGGCGAAGGCGGCCCCUGGCAAAGACUGACGCUCAUGUGCGAAAGCGUGGGGAGCAAACAGGGAUUAGAUACC